UCUUUUUCGUUUUCGUUUUCGUUUUCUUUUCUUUGAUUUUCUUUGUAUUUUCAUUAUCCUGUGUUUGGUCUAGCUGAGGGAGAAGGGGCAAGAAGAGAGUAUGCAGCCAGAACAUUUAUGAUUUUUUCUUGUAAUUCUUGCGCAUCAGAACGAUCACAAUUUUUAUGAAAUUCAAACAAUGUUACCAACAAUUU
rnacentral:ribozyme from 13 species